CGGAUUAGCCCAAACCAAUAAAGUUUUCUUUAUUGGGGUUGCGGACAUAUCAUAACGAAGAGGUAUCGUAAUUGAAGAGGUUUGGAAAGACCCACCACAGAAGGUAAUAGUCCUGUAUGUUAAACGAGAAGACUUUAGAUAUGAUCCAGAGUACCACGGGACACGUGAAACCCGGUGGGAAGCAGGAGGGACCACCCUCCAAGGCUAAAUACUACCUAGUGACCGAUAGCGUAUAGUACCGUGAGGGAAAGGUGAAAAGAACCCCGGGAGGGGAGUGAAAUAGAACCUGAAACCCUGCACUUACAAGCUGUGGAAGCACAUUUCUUGUGUGACCGCGUACUUUUUGUAGAACGGGCCAACGAGUUACGUUAAGUAGCAAGGUUAAGCAC
rnacentral:rRNA from 1 species